CCGUGCAGCCGGGGUGGUAGCGGUACCUUGAACCUGCAAUCCGCUAUAGCAGGGGUGAUAUUGCGCAGAGGGCGACAGUCUGCAGGGCUGCCCCCGGAAAGUGACGUUGACGUCUGGGUCUCACGCGACGGGACUCUGUGAACCGUGUCAGGUCGGGAACGGAGCAGCACUAAGCAGAACCUCUCGGGUGCCGUGAGGGUGCCUGGGCUGAGUUAACUACCGGGGUAACGCUUGUGGGCCAAGUUCGAAGCGCAAUGCACGU
rnacentral:SRP_RNA from 26 species